UACGUAGGGUGCAAGCGUUGUCCGGAAUUAUUGGGCGUAAAGAGCUCGUAGGCGGCUUGUCGCGUCGGCUGUGAAAUCCCGUGGCUCAACCUCGGGUCUGCAGUCGAUACGGGCGGACUGGAGUUCGGCAGGGGAGACUGGAAUUCCUGGUGUAGCGGUGAAAUGCGCAGAUAUCAGGAGGAACACCGGUGGCGAAGGCGGGUCUCUGGGCCGAUACUGACGCUGAGGAGCGAAAGCGUGGGGAGCGAACAGG
rnacentral:rRNA from 1 species